rnacentral:tRNA from 1 species
GGUGGCUCAGUGGUAGAGUGUCCUUGGCAUGCCGAACGUCCUAGGUUCGAUCCCGAGCACCUCCA